CCCGCACUGAACUUUUGGGCUCCAGUAGGCCCAAUUUUUUUUUAUUUUUUUAUUAUUUUUUUUAAAGCCUGGUUCAAGUCUCCGACCCAGAUAGAAGUCCAAUUUUCCACAGCCCAUGCCCCGUUUACUGACCCAGACCCGGAAUCAUAAUUCAAUUAACCCAUUUUCAUUCAAUCAAGCUCUUCAUUUCAACUAAAAUCAAAACCAAACCCUUGCUCCCUAACGUGAAUCGCCUUUCUCGACUCUCGCUUCCCUUCUCGCCGACUUCCAGUUCCAAUCCACUGUCCGUCGGCAUCUCCUAGAUUAGAGGCUCAAAUCUCCGGCCCCUGACUCUAGUAUCCUGAAUCCCCCACUGCAACUUUAACCUCCAAGUGUAUACUGCAGAGAUAAAGGAUUCGACCAGGAACGGAACAAGGGUUUGGCUUGGGACUUUUAAUAGUGCAAAAGAACCUGGUCUGGUUUAUGAUCAAGCUGCAUUUGCAAUGCGCUGGGCUUCAGCUCCCCUUAAUUUUCCUUCAGAGAAAGUAAAGAAAUCCCUUAAAAACAUGAAUUAUAAGUGCGAAGAUGGUUCGUCACCAGCUGAAGCCAUAAAAGAGAUUCAUAGGGCUCGGAGUUCUUUCUCAUCUCCUUUCUGGUUUCUUACUUGAACCCUGGAUCUCAACCCCUUUCCCCUUUUAUCUUCCCUUUUGCUUAAAUCAUUCAUCAAUUUUAAAUCAAUUCCAAUUAAAACUUACUCUCUGUUAAUGAUUUGGAACUUCAAGUUAAUUAGUGCUUUGAAUUUGAAAUAUGAAGACUUGUGUUUCAAAUUUCAAUUUCAAUAGAUUUCUGUUUCUAGAUUUUUUUUUUUUUUUUUUUGAAAAGUUCCAUGUUCCUGAGAACUGAGAAGACCAGAUAAAAUUCAAUUUAUCCAAAUUGAAUAAAAAAUUUUAAUUAGUUUUUGUUGGCUAACAAUUUUACGAAAUGAAAAAAUGUGAAAUAAUCUCACAUUCUCAAUUUCUCAUCAUCCGCAUAAUAAUUUUGUCAUACUUUUUAUAUACUUUGGAGAGUUUUUACUGUUGAAUUUAUCAUAGUUCCAUGCCUAAAACACAAAAAUGUAUUUUCAUUCAUUCUUUAUGAGAGGAAUUGAAGAUUAUUAUGAUCUUGGAUAUGAUUAUUCUAGAAAUUUUGUAGCCGAUAGAAUUCUUUAUUUAGUGCCAAUAAAGAACUAGCUAAUUAAUUCGAUUUUUCCUCUGAUUCCUAGCUAGUUUAUGCAUAUAGGUCUCUUUUGAUCGGUAAAAUAACAUCCUUUUGUUGCUAUAUUAUUAUGAUUAUGCUUCAGCCUUGUUGUUUUGAUCUUGAAGAAAUGCUUUUGAUUUGAAUAUUAGAAGGUGUUUCGGAUGUUCACAUGAUUUGUGAUGAUUGUGAUAAAUGAUUGGAAUAGUUCAUUAUAGUAUAUGUAUAAUAGGAACUUAUUCAAUGAUGGCUGAAGUGAGUUGUAGUGCAUAUAUACAACAAUUACAACUGUCACCACCACCUGAACUGCAGAAUUAGCUUAUAUUGAGCUUUCUUGAUGACCUUUUUUCAUAGAACAAUGCUAUAUCAUUUUUAGUUUGCGGUAGUAUUGUUUUAUAUUUUUAUCAUUAUUAAAUUCAUAGUCAAAAACUCAAAGUUCGGAAGUAUUAUGCCCGCACUGAAAAAUAUUUCUGGCUCCGCCCCUGCUAAUACCUAUCAUUCUUCCGCAGUUUUAUAUUUUCUAGGGAGAGCAUUAUUUUCCUACUUAACAAGGAAAGCUAUGAAAAUGUCUGUGCCUGGCUAGAAAUGAAAUAAUAGAGGAAGAUGGUCACUUAAUCAUAGUAAAAUAUAUUACAACAUGCUAUAUUAAUACUUAUCCUAGUAAUUGAGUGGAUUGAUUUCAAAUUUAUCAAGAACGAGCAGAGUUAAGAACAUGAUUACAUUUAACUUAUCCUAUCCAAGGGUGAAUAUUCUUAUUAUUUGUUAUUCUACUCAAGAUGAAGCUAUUUAUUAAGAAUACCUCCACAUUAAUCCCAUUUUAUCACAGUCGCGAUAAAAUUUCCCGUUGAACCCAAGAUGUGCACUCUAUAAUUUUAUUUGCUUUCAGCCUAUUAAGAAUAGGGCUUGAUGCUAUAAAAAACAGUACCUAGUAGAUCUCGAACUGAAUGUGUGAAUACCGAGCUAGAUGACUGAGAAAGAACAUGAACAGAGCAUUUCAGAACCUAAAACAAAGGCAGUGAGGUGUGUCAUCAUUGCCCCUCUGAGGCUUAAAUCAGAUAGGGAAUUUAUAUAAAAAUGUAUGUUGAAAUUGUAUGUAAAACGUACUUGAAUAAUGGGCCAUGACCAUGUAUUUAUAGACGUUGGAGGUAAAAUCAUAGAAGGAUUCAACUACCUAUGAUCCUUAUCCUCAUAGGAUAAGGUAUUUGUGUUGCAAUUAAAGUG
rnacentral:lncRNA from 1 species